CCGCGCCGCGCGGCCGGGGGCGGGGAGGGAUGGGCGCCCCCGGCCCCGCCCGCCGCCCCGCGCGCCCCCUGCCUGCGGUCCCCUGUGGGCCCCGCCGCGCGGCCUGGCCGCUGCCUCUUCUGCGGGGUCCCCGGCGCUUCCCCGCCCCUCCCGCCAACGACCCCGGCCCGGCGCCGGCCAGGCCUUGCGGGCCUGCCUCGCCUAAGGCUUCCCAGGGCGCCGCCCCCCUUCGCGGCGGGGCUGCGGCCCCGACCUUUGUGUCCCCGGCGUCGCGCGCCCCGGCCCCUCCCCACGUGCCCGGCCGCGCCUCAGCCUUCGCCCUGAGCGCGCGCCGCCGCCGCCCACCCUCCCGCCUGCCCUGUCCUCACCCUCACGUCCGGGACAGCCCCGCGGCCACUCUCCCGGUGCCGGGCGCCGCUCUGAGUGUCCCCUCCCUUCUCUGAGGCCUUCCCGGCACUUCCUUCCUCUUGCGGGGGAAGAGCCAGCUCUCAGCCAUAAAAUCCUGCAUGUGCAAGGCCCUGAGUGAAGUUGGAGGUGAGGAACUCCAGUGUCUACUGCUCUUCAGUCCAGAGUGCUGCUCAGCUGGUGCCAGGGAUUGAACCCGGGGCUUCCCACAAGCAAGUCCUGUGCCCUCUCACUGGCCCCUGGAACUCCUCAUUCUCAGAGCCACUGGCUGGAGUAUGUAUAAUUUCACUGCUCCUGGGCUACUUUCUGCUCCCCAUCAUUCAUUCAGGGUGAUCCUCUCUGUUCUCCAACUCUGUGCCCAGUCUCUCUCUUGUACUAUGAGCAAAAGGUGCCAAGCUCAGGGCACCAGUAAUAGGCUCCACACAGCUCCCUCAGCCCCAGCAGCGCGUCACCCAUGUAUUGGCCUAAGAGGAUGGGCAUCGAGAACCAUCAAUCAACUGGAUCAGAACCCAGUAUGGACCAAGCAGAAGGCUUCUCUGAAGCAGCCUGUGUUUCUAGAAGGG